CGUACACUCCUACGGGAGGCAGCAGUGGGGAAUAUUGGACAAUGGGCGCAAGCCUGAUCCAGCCAUGCCGCGUGAGUGAUGAAGGCCCUAGGGUUGUAAAGCUCUUUCACCGGUGAAGAUAAUGACGGUAACCGGAGAAGAAGCCCCGGCUAACUUCGUGCCAGCAGCCGCGGUAAUACGAAGGGGGCUAGCGUUGUUCGGAUUUACUGGGCGUAAAGCGCACGUAGGCGGACUAUUAAGUCAGGGGUGAAAUCCCGGGGCUCAACCCCGGAACUGCCUUUGAUACUGGUAGUCUUGAGUUCGAGAGAGAUGGGUGGAAUUCCGAGUGUAGAGGUGAAAUUCGUAGAUAUUCGGAGGAACACCAGUGGCGAAGGCGGCUCACUGGCUCGAUACUGACGCUGAGGUGCGAAAGCGUGGGGAGCAAACAGGAUUAGAUACCCGUGUAGUCCCAUGA
rnacentral:rRNA from 1 species